AUUGAACGCUGGCGGCAGGCUUAACACAUGCAAGUCGAGCGGGGAAAAGUAGCUUGCUACUGGACCUAGCGGCGGACGGGUGAGUAAUGCUUAGGAAUCUGCCUAUUAGUGGGGGACAACAUCUCGAAAGGGAUGCUAAUACCGCAUACGUCCUACGGGAGAAAGCAGGGGACCUUCGGGCCUUGCGCUAAUAGAUGAGCCUAAGUCGGAUUAGCUAGUUGGUGGGGUAAAGGCCUACCAAGGCGACGAUCUGUAGCGGGUCUGAGAGGAUGAUCCGCCACACUGGGACUGAGACACGGCCCAGACUCCUACGGGAGGUAGCAGUGGGGAAUAUUGGACAAUGGGGGGAACCCUGAUCCAGCCAUGCCGCGUGUGUGAAGAAGGCCUUUUGGUUGUAAAGCAUUUUAAGCGAGGAGGAGGCUACCGAGAUUAAUACUCUUGGAUAGUGGACGUUACUCGCAGAAUAAGCACCGGCUAACUCUGUGCCAGCAGCCGCCGUAACAC
rnacentral:rRNA from 1 species